CUGAACAUCUUUUCCUGCAUCUGUUGGCUACCUGGAUAUCUUCCUGGAGGCAUUCUUUCUGAGUUCAGGCCAUGGCAACAUGAGGAGGAUAGAAACCACACAGUGGCCACACAAAUAGAAGCCAUACUUGGAAUGGAAGCCAUAGUGGAAGAAUCUGGUGGAAAGCCUCAGUUUUUGAUGACAACAUGGAGAAGACUUGCUGGCUCUAAACUGUUUACUGCUGGAUUUCUUUUACGUAAAAUAUAAUAAAUAGGUGUCUAUGCUAUUUAUAUCUCUGUUCUCUUGAGUUUUUCUAUUUCCAGUUUUCCUCCAAUCAGUUUGGGCUGUUUAAAGUCUAAUUAUUGAAACACUUUAAUGCAUCUUAAUAGUGGAAUGUGUAACUCUCUCAUAAAUUUCUUUAUACCAUUUUAGCCCAGUUUAUCAAUUGUAUAAACUACAGUAACAUUUUGUAAUCACAAA
rnacentral:lncRNA from 1 species